AUCAAUAUCAGUUGCAAGAGCAAGGAGUUUCUGUAAUUCCUUGUCCAGCACUUCAUAGUUAUGAUGAAGGUUCUUUAUGGAAGAGCCUUUUCGGAUAAUAGGGGUUGAUGCAUCUCUCCCCAGUUUGUAAAUCAAAGCAGCAGCCACCGGCACUGCACCGAUGAAUGCAGCGGCUAAAGUAGCAGCAACUGGAUCCAUAUCGGGAAAUGGCUAGCUCAACAAUGAAACCUGCACAUGAGAAUUAUUAUUAAUUUAUUUAUAACAAUUACACCUACUAAAAGAAAUUUAAAAACUAUAUGUAGAAGGAAAAAAACUAAAAAAAACCUCAAUAGUUUGCCUUUUUUUUUGUAGUAAGAAUGAAAAAUUAAGAGAGUUUUGUGCAUUUAUAGAAAGGAUGAGGUUUUAAGACAGCAAGAUCAAUAUUUUUCCACACUUGAUUGUUAUAAAAUAAUAAUAUUUAUAAAUUAUUUUCUAUUUGGUUAAUUACAAAGAAAGUGCAUUAAUUUCUUCAUAUAAAUCUUGUGAAUUUCUUUUUCAUUGGCUAUUUGAAGGUAUUCCAAGUAUACUCGUUUCUUGGGUAGUUUCUGGGAAAUUUUUGCAAGAAUAAAUAAUUUUAAUAUUUAAAUAUUUAGAAAUUUACAAUUCUUUGAAUAGUUUAAUAAUUUAUACUAACAAGAUCAAAAAGAUCAAGUUGGUUAUAUUUUACUUUACAUAAUGGAUUGAUUUAAAAGUAAAAUUAAACUAAAUAAUUAAUUUUGAUAAAACAUAAAUAUAUUAUAAUAAUUUAUCCUUUUUUUCCGCCAUUUGUAUAAUAUAAAGUCAAUCGUUUUUAUUAAAUUAUUGCAAUAUAGUAAAAUAGCUAAAUUGUUUGUCUCAUAAUGUUAUAAAUUCUUCAAAAAUUGUUAGUAAAAAAAAACUAUUUAAUGUUUGUUAUUUUUAUGAGAAAUAAUUUAAUUUUUGAAUUUUUUAGUAACAAAAUAAUAUAUUUACAAUAAAUACUUUUGUUAAUAAUCUCCUUCAAAAGUUUGCAAUCAGAAACUUUUCCUUCUUCUAUAUGUUUGGUAACUUCCUGAAACUUGUUUACCAUUUUUGUUAAGUUUUUCUUUAUCAAUAAAAUUAAUUUCCCUUCCAAAAUUCUCUUUAUUCCCUUCAUACUCGCGAGUCAAAGCUUCCACCUCCACUUGAAUAUUCUCCCAUACCCUUCUUAUCCAUAUUUUUUUAUAUAAAAAAAUAUUUUAUUGAUAAAAUUAAAAAAAAAAAAAACUUAACAUUAUAAAUCUGCCCCAAAUAUACGCAACCUAAAAUAAAAUAUUAAAAAUAAAAAAAGUCUAGAACAAAAAGUACAUCAAUUUAAACAUAAAAAUUAUUUAUUAUUAAUGUUACAUAAAAAUUUUUAAAAUAAAUCAUGAGCUGUCACCAUAAAAUAGAUGACAUGACAAGAUUUAAUAAACUGACAAGUGAUUCCAUCCGUAAAAAGAAAUAUUCGAACGAUUAACUCCUAAUAAAAGCUCGAACGACUAUUAUAUUCGAAAUCAAGAGAAAAGAUUCUGUAACAGCCCGGAAACCGAACUGCUACCGGCACUAGGAUCCAGAUCGACUUAAGGUCGCCGGGACCCGUAGUAAGCCUCCUGUGAACUCUGUGUACCUGUGAAAUCCCAUACAUGAUCAUACAUUUUCUGUAAAAAUAAAAACUUUCUCUGAACCAAGGCUUGACCUGUGCUUAUACUCACUAUGUGCUAUAAAACCCCUGCUAGAGCUCUCAUCCUUGCUCUAGGUGGGUCAUCUCAUAUAAUGUCAAGCCUGGCUUUUCAUACAUAAACCAUAAAACAUUUUCAUAAAAGACCAUGUAUAUAUAUAAAAAGGGAUUACACUCUACAAAUCAAGCACCAUCUAUACACUGUACAAUAUUCUAUCUCUUUACAUAUACAUGUCCAUUCUAGCUAUUACAUAUCUCUUCUCUUCCUCUAUACCCUGCUGACCUCUCUGGACUCUGGAAACUGAACCUGCAAAACUAGGGUUAAGGGAGAGGGAUGAGCUAUACUAGCCCAGUGAGCAGAACAUAGAAAACAGGUCAUUAAAACAUGAUCUCAUGGAAUGCAUUACAUCACAAACAAUUCACAUCAAGGGUAAACCUGUCACCACCUAGUCCCAGUAACUGAUGUGUGCCAGGCCGUAGCAUGGGGUCCUGGACUUCCUGUCUGUAUAUGUAUACGUGUAUAUAACACCUGUACUUACCAUUUUGCCAGGCCGUAGAAUGGGCUCCUGGACUUCCUAUACUGUAUAUGUAUACGUGUAUAUAACACCUGUUCUCAUCAGUUGCCAGGCCGUAGACUGGGGUCCUGGUCUUCCUGCCUGGUACUAAUGGAUCACUCAGCAUUUACCCACACCAACAAUUAACUAUGCAAUGCAGCAUAUUCGUGGAUUCUAAUGCAAACAACCUACUGCAUAUUCAUGGUGCAUGAGAUAUGCUAAAACAUUCCAUUUCUCAAUUUAAAAGAUUAAGUUUAGUUCCACUCACCUCUGGCUGACUCUGAACUAACUCUGCAGGUUCUGAAGCAGUGCUCACUGCUGACUCUGAUUCCUCUGGUCCGUUCCUACACAGGUGGACACAAAUGAGGGACCAAACUAACUUAAGAACAUCUCUAAGAAACUCCUCAAAAGCCCUUUAAAAGAUCCUAAAACAAUCACAUAAAACAUGCAAAAGAAGGCUGGACAGGGUACUUUCGGCGGCAGGUUCGGCAGCCGAAACCCCCCUCCAGAGACGAAACUCAUGCAUGUUCGGCGGCACCUUCGGCAGCCGAAAGUCUCGUCCAGAGACAAAACUCAAACCUUCGGCGGCACUUUCGGCGGCCGAACCUUGCCUCUAGAGACGAAAGUCCCAAUUUUUGGAAGCAAGCUUUGGCAGCCGAAACUGCCUCCACAAGGGGUUCGGCGGCCGAACCUUCCUUCGGCGGCCGAACCUGGCUUUGCCCGAAGGGCAGAAGCCUGCUCUGCUUCAUGCAAACUUACCCCAAAUCUUACCCAACAUGCAUAUCAACUACUCCCAACUAGCACAUGCCAUAAAACAUGCACAAAGGGGUUUAAAACUAACCUAUAACCCCAACAAACAUAACAAAUAACACUGAAGCAUGCAUGAACACCAAAAUCAUCAAAAAACCUCAUAAAAUCUAAUCAUGCAUACUACCCAUGAAACUCUCUUAAAACCUUCAAAAAUCAAGAAAGGAAGUUCAAGAUCUUCACUUACCUCUUCCAAACAAGGAAAAUAACGAUCCUAACGUGGAGAUGUGGGAAAAUCCUCUCUCAAAUCUCCAAGCUUCCAAACUUGUUCUUUUUUCUCAAAACCUUCAAAACACCUCAAAACUCUUAAAAUCCUUGAAAGAUUUGGUGAAAAACAUGAAAAUCAUCAAAGUCAACUUGGGAAGGCUUAGACUCACCUCUGGCUGCAAGUGGAAGAGAAAAUAUCCUCCCUCCACCGACCUUUGGCCCUUAAAUAGGUGGCUGGCCAGACCACCUUCGGCAGCCGAACGUGAAGCCAAAACCAUGCAAUGUUCGGCGGCCGAAAGUGACCUUCGGCGGCCGAACCUUUGCAUUUCUCCCUUGUUGCUUUUCUUUAAAAAACUCAUUCCUUUUAAACACUUUAAAACAUUAAAACUCUUUAAAAUACAUAUAAAAACAUCUCCCGGACCCCUCUAGAGCAUUCCGACAUCAGAAAUCCACCGAAACUACAAGAAUUCCGACGCCGUACUCUAGCCGGGUAUUACAGAUUCAGUCUUAGGACAUGUCAGCUUCAUGUCAAACUUGUCCUUUCAAAUAUCAAGUGAAUCUCCAUAAGAAAGUUACUAUUAAAUAGUUACAGUAUAAAAGAAAAUCGAUUAUAGAGGUAAAGUACGCUAUUCCCUUAUACUAAUACUUUAAAUUCUAAGUAAUUCUUUAUUCCCGUCUUAUUUUUAAAUUUACUGACUUGAGAGUCGGAUUGUCUGCUAUAAACGUCAACCACCUCAUUUUCUCCUUUUUGUAAGUUUAAUCAAUCACAACACAGUUUGAAUUCAACCACGUCAUAUUUUUUAAUGGCCAAUAAUAUUAAUUAUUAUUAUUGUUAAAACAAUUAUACCUAUUAGAAAGAAAUUUAAUAUAUAUAGAGAGAUCUAGAAAUGAAGAAAAUUAAGAUACCUUGUUUGCCUUUUCUCAUAUACAUAAGCAGAUGAGGUUUUAAGACGUGUGCAUGUGACAUUACCAUCCAUUUAAUUUAAUUAUUUACAAUUUUCCCCACGUUUUUUAUUUGGUUAAAUUGCAAAGAAAGUGUAUGUGUGCAUCAAUCUAUUCAUAUAUACAUGUCCUGUGAAUUUCUUAUAUAUUGGCUAUUUGAAGGGUAUUUUAGUAAACUUAUUCCAUUAAUGAUAAUAUCAACGGAAAAGUAUGCUCUAUUGAUAGUUUCCUAUAAAUUUUUGCAAGAAUGACUAAUUUUAAAAUUUAAAUUUUUGAUGAAAAAUAACAAAUCUUUGAGUAAUUUAAUAAUUUCUAUUAAUAAAAUUAAAACAAGUUGGCUGUAUAUAUAUUCUAUUCACAGAAUGACUCUAAUUAAAAGGGACAUUUUGAUUAAUUGAUUUAGAAAUAGGAAUUAAAAUGGGAUUUUUCUCAAAAGGGUAAAAAAUAAAAAAAUUCUUAAAUUCUAGUGGGAAAAAAUUAUUUACCAAAUUAGAGUAAAUUUAAAGAGGUUUUUUUUAAAAUAAAAUGAUCAACUACCACAUUUUAUAAAUGUGAUAAUUUAUACAUAAAAAAAUAAAUACCUUACUGCGCACAUAUAUAUAUAUAUAUAUAUAUAUAUAUAUAUAUAAGUUACAAUUUAAAAUUUAAUUCAUACUUUUUAAAUAAUAAAUAAUUUGAUUAUUAAAAUUUUAUUUUAUUAAUAAAAUAUAUAUAUAUUUUAAAUUUAGAAUUAAUUAUUUUAUAAAUUCUAAUUUUCUCAAUUUUCAAUAUUUAUCAAAAUAUUUUAUAAUUAUAUUAUAUUAAAUAUUUUCUCUACUCCAUAAAUUUCAAAACCUUUAAACCCUAUUUAUAUCAAGAUAUUUAUAAUAAUUUUACAUUAAAUAUUUUUUCACUAAGUAAAUCUAAAUUUUUAACGUCUAAUUCGUUAAUUUUUAUUUUAUAUCAAAAUAUUUUAUUAUAGACUUAUAUUAAUAAUUUUUCAAGUAAUAAUUACUUUUAUAAAAUUUAUAUAUUUUAAAUUUUAUAAAACAACUAUAAAUAGGGUUAACUAGGAGUGAGCAUUCGGUCGGUUCGGUUUUGAAUCGAACCGAACCGAAUAAACCGAAAAUCAAAAUUUUAGUGUUUAUGAAAACCGAACCGAACUGAUUUUGAUCAGAAACCGAACCGAAUCGGUCUGAUUCAGUUCGAUUCGGUUCGGUUUGAUCGGUUUCGAUUUUUAAUAAUUUUUUUAUUUUUUACACUUUAUUUUUAAUAUUUAAAAUUUAAUUAAAAUAUUUUAAUUUUAAUAUGUUUUAAUUUCUCUAUAUUAUUGAAAAAAUAUAUUAUUAUCACUAAUCGGUUUGGUUCGAUAUUUUCAAUUUUUUUUUUAUCAAAACCGAACCGAACCAAAUCGAAAUAUAUAAAAAAUCGAACUAAAAUUUUAAUUUGAUUUGAUUCGAUUGGUUUUUUUAAUUUGAACCGAAUUCUGCUCACCCCUAAGUUUAACAACUAUAUAGUAUAAAAUAUAUUAAUAUAUUUUAAAAUUUUAAUGUAUUUAAUAUAAAACAACUAUAAAAUAUAUUAAUAUAUUUUAAAAAUUAAGGUUAUAAAUUUAAAUUUUAUUAAUAAUAAAUUUUUAAAAAUAUAUAUUUUAUUAAUUAAAUAAAAAUUUAAAAAUUAAAUUAUUUAUUAUUUAAAAAGUAUCAAUUAAAUUAUUUAUUAUUUAAAAAGUAUAAAUGAAAUUAUAAAUUCUAUUAAAUUUUUAAAAAACGUACAAUAAAAUCCAUUCAGAUUUAGUCUGGUAAUAAGUACAUUUGAAUAUCUAAAUUUUAUUUUUUCCUCUUUAUUAUUUAUCUAUUCGCUUAUUAAAUAAAUUGUAUUCACUCCUUAUACUUUUAAUAUUACAGAUCCUUUUUGUGAUCCAUUCCUAAUAUUCUACAUCUUUUAAUUUUAUCAUUUCUACCACUUCGUCGAUUGAGAGUGUAGUGGAGAUUGGAUCAAUCCUAAAUUUUUUGUAAUUUUUUUAUAAUUUUAAAAGAUAAUAUAUAAAUUGUAUAUUUAACUGCAAAAUAUAUUUUAUUUAGUGUAAAUAUAUUAUAAAUUAAGUAGACCACCUAUCCAUUUUCUCUUUUAUAUUUUAAUAUUUUAAAAUUAUAGGUUAUGUAUAUUUAUAUAUACAUAUAUAUAUAUAUAUAUAUAUAUUUAGAAAUUUAAAAUUUAGUAAUAGUAAAUUUUAAAAAAUAUAUAUUUUAUUAAUUAAAUAAAAAUUUGAAAAUUAAAUUAUUUAUUAUUUAAAAAAUAUAAAUUAAAUUAUUUAUUAUUUAAAAAGUAUAAAUUAAAUUAUAAAUUCUAUUAAAUUUUUAAAAAAUUAAGGUUGAUUCAGAUUUAGCUGGCAAAUAUAUAUAUUUGAAUAUCUAAACUUUAUCUUUUCUUUUUAUUAUUUAUCUAUCCGCUCACUAAAUAAAUUGUACUUACACCUUAUACGUUUAAUAGUACAGAUUUUUUUUUGUGAUCCACUCCUAACAGUCUAUAUUUUCUAAUUUUGUUUCUUUUACUUCGUUCACUCAGAGUUUAGUGAAGAUCGACUCAAUCUAAAUCCUUUGUAAUUUUUUAUAAUUUUAAAAAAUAAUAUAUAAAUUAUAUAUUUAACUGCGAAAUAUAUUUUAUUUAGUGUAAAUAUAUUAUGAAUUAAUUAAAUCACCAAUCAGUCCUUUUUUUAUCAGACAAAUAUAGAUGAAACAAGAGCAGAAAAUACAAAGAAGAGGUAAACAAUGUCAACAUCUGGCUAUCAAAAGCACAGCAUUGGUUAACCGAUUGAUGAACCAGUGACUGCAUGCUUCCUGUAACAGAUGGAAAGAAUUUCUUCAAGGAGUCAUAACGCCACCUGCACGUUGUUAACAUAAUCCCAUGUUAAUCAGGGCUUCAACACAUUAUUCAGACAACACAUGUAGCUUAGCAAAAACUUAUCUAAUGUUUGGAUUUUGACAUUUUGAAGAUUUUUAGAGUUCUAUUCUGAAUAUGCUGACCAGAUAUAGACAUAUAUUAGAAUUAGGACACAACCACAGUAAGAUUAUUAUUUUUAUUUAUCUAUAAAUUUCACAAUUUUCUCUUACAAAUGAUUCCAUAAAGAACCUUAUUUUAUCAACUUAAUUACAAAAUAACCAGCAAGCUUCUUCAACUAAUCAUCUCCUUCACAAGUUUGCAAUAAGAAACUUUCCUUCUUCUAUAUGUUGCCUAACUUCCUGGUGCUUGUUCACCAUUUUUUUGCUAAGUUUUCCUUUAGCAAUAACAUUAAUUUCCCUUCUAAGCUUCUCUUUAAUCCUUUCAUACUCAUUAACCAAAGCUUCCACCUCUGCUUGAAUCUCCCAUACCCUUGUUAUCCAUAGCUUAUAAGUGCCAGUAUUUUUUAUUUCCUUACUAUUGACACGGCCGUGAUCAAUAUCAGUUGCAAGAGCAAGGAGUUUCUGUAGUUCCUUGUCCAGCACUUCAUAGUUAUGAUGAAGGUUCUUUAUGGAAGAGCCUUUUCGGAUAAUAGGGGUUGAUGCAUCUCUCCCCAGUUUGUAAAUCAAAGCAGCAGCCACCGGCACUGCACCGAUGAAUGCAGCGGCUAAAGUAGCAGCAACUGGAUCCAUAUCGGGAAAUGGCUAGCUCAACAAUGAAACCUGCACAUGAGAAUUAUUAUUAAUUUAUUUAUAACAAUUACACCUACUAAAAGAAAU
rnacentral:lncRNA from 1 species